CGCGGCCUAUCAGCUUGUUGGUGGGGUGAUGGCCUACCAAGGCGUUGACGGGUAGCCGGCCUGAGAGGGCGGUCGGUCACAUUGGGACUGAGAUACGGCCCAGACUCCUACGGGAGGCAGCGGUGGGGAAUUUUGCACAAUGGGCGCAAGCCUGAUGCAGCGACGCCGCGUGAGGGAUGACGGCUUUCGGGUUGUAAACCUCUUUUAUCCACCACGAAGGCUCCGUAUUCGCGGGGUUGACGGUAGUGGUUGAAUAAGCGCCGGCUAACUACGUGCCAGCAGCCGCGGUAAGACGUAGGGCGCGAGCGUUGUCCGGAUUUAUUGGGCGUAAAGAGCUCGUAGGCGGUUUGUCGCGUCUGGUGUGAAAUCCCGAGGCUCAACCUCGGGCUUGCAUCGGGUACGGGCAGACUAGAGUACUGUAGGGGAGACUGGAAUUCCUGCGCGGCCUAUCAGCUUGUUGGUGGGGUAACGGCCCACCAAGGCGACGACGGGUAGCCGGCCUGAGAGGGCGACCGGCCACACUGGGACUGAGACACGGCCCAGACUCCUACGGGAGGCAGCAGUGGGGAAUAUUGCGCAAUGGGCGAAAGCCUGACGCAGCGACGCCGCGUGGGGGAUGACGGCCUUCGGGUUGUAAACCUCUUUCAGCAGGGACGAAGGUGACGUGUACCUGCAGAAGAAGCGCCGG
rnacentral:rRNA from 1 species